AUUUAACCUUGGGGAAAAACUAAUUUGUAUUCUGAGUUAUAUAUUGCAGGAAAAGGCACCAGAUGAGGAAGACCCGAACUAAGCUGAUGCUAGUGCUCAACGAUGAGACCACCAUAGAAGACAAGACCUGUACAAGUGCAGGAUAUAUGCAAGUAAUGGGGAUAUGGGUGUGAGGUAAAAUGGUAUGGAGUAAGGGGUGGAGAUUGUAGUGAGUUUGUGUCGUUAAAUAACAUUUCCUUUUCCUGGGAGGAACAGGAAGAUAUUCCCUACUAUGUUAUGUCAGUACAGCUAUAAAAGGGGAGGAAGAGGUAGCUCCCCCUUUCUUCUUCUUCCGGGAUGGCCCUAGAGACAGCUAUGGCUGUCUGAGACGCCGCUUCUUGGGGAGGUAGAAUUUUACUGUUAGUUUCCUUUGCCUGUGUGUUUGUAGGGUUAUUAGGUUUUUUUCUUUUUCUUCAUGUAAAUAUAAAACUGUCUUUCUUGGUAAACCCCAGGUUUUAAGUUUUUUUUUCCUUUUGUCUCUACUUUUGGGCGGGAGGGGGAUCUGCGCAGCCUUGGUGGACAGCCGGGGUUCAGCCAAAGUAAACAGCUACAACUCUUCUGGGCUUUCUCAUUUUACUGGGCUGUGCCUGUAAACAUUUUGGUAACAGCAGUGGACAUGAACCAGGACUGGAAGAUGGCCAGUGCAUCGCUGCUGUUUCUGUACUGUACUUGACAGCUUGGAACUCCAGUGUGAACUGGACUUGAAGAACCUGUGACCUGUGUACGAAUCUGUCUGGUAGCAGGACACCCUGAAGCAUUGGUGGUGAUGUCCACACCAGAGAAGAUACAUUCCUGACAGGAUUGUGGCCCAAGGAAAAGUCCAUGCUGGAGAAGGUAUAUCUCAAAGCAUCUGUUGCUCUGGUAAGUCCAUGCUGCAGCAGGUACACCAUGAAGUGUCAGUGGCCAUGGAUAAAUUCAGUACACAGCAGGUACACCCAUGAAGAGACCUCAGUCCUUGGAUAAGACCACACUGCAGCAGGUACACCCCUAAGAGAUUUUGAUCUACAGAUAAGGCCAUGAUGGAGCAGGAGCAAGGGGAGGAGUUAAUUGCAAUGAGGCCUGCUUCAACAGACUUGAAGACUUUAGUCUAUUGUAAGCCAUGAUUUGAGAGGCAUGUUACAGGAAGCGCUACAGCAGAAGCUGCCUGAACCAAUGCAAAAUGAGCAUCACAGGAAGCAGUACAAGUGCAGUAGUGACCCAACCUGAGCUUAAAGGGUGAUGGGUGGUUAAUGAGGAUGUAUUGGAUAUUGCCUUUCCUAUUAAACCAUCUUUUUCUCAA